rnacentral:rRNA from 1 species
GCAAGUCGAACGAGAUCUAAGUUGAAUUUAUUCAAUUUAGUGAAAGUGGCGGACGAGCGAGUAACACGUAACCAUCUGCCCCGUACUCAGGGAUAACGGCUCGAAAGAGUCGCUAAUACCGGAUAGUCUCGCGAGAGUAAAGCUUUUGCGGUACGGGAGGAGGUUGCGGCUUAUCAGUUAGUUGGUGGGGUAAAGGCCUACCAAGACGAUGACGAGUAGCUGGUGUGAGAGCAUGACC